rnacentral:rRNA from 1 species
UACGUAGGGUGCAAGCGUUGUCCGGAAUUAUUGGGCGUAAAGAGCUCGUAGGCGGUCUGUUAUGUCGGAUGUGAAAGCCCUUGGCUCAACUGAGGAAGUGCAUCCGAAACUGGCAGGCUAGAGUACUAAAGGAGGGUCGCGGAAUUCCCGGUGUAGAGGUGAAAUUCGUAGAUAUCGGGAGGAACACCGGUGGCGAAGGCGGCGACCUGGGUAGAUACUGACGCUGAGGUGCGAAAGCGUGGGGAGCAAACAGG